AGGAGAUCAAGGUCACUUCUAAAUCUCCUGGCAAAGUGGAGAUGGAACCACUGAAAAAAUAUAUGCAGGAUAUAGUGAAAACUGCUUGUAUGCCAGCUGUCAACAAAGCAUUGAGUGACAACCUGGUGCCACUUCCCAACCUGAUGGCGGCCACAUAUGAAGAAAGCACAAAAGAAUUCAAGAAAUUACCAGAUGCGCUGAUGAUGCACAUCCAUUCGGAGCCUGUGGACUUCUCGAACCUGGUGAAGAAAAUGGGAGAAAUUACCAGUAAAGGCGAACACUGAGAGGCAAAGCACAGGAGAUGUGAGUUCCACUGGGGACCUCUCCAUGCCGCCUGAGCUCUCAUCACCAAAACGACAAUCUGGAAAACGCACACCAACAAUAGCAGCCAAUCUUCAGCACACAAGGGUUUCGGAAAGGGACUAGAACUCUCCCUGGUCCCACAAAGUCCGUUUCCAGUUCUG
rnacentral:lncRNA from 11 species